CAAAACAGUUAACUUCAUGGCUUGUCCUUUUCUCUGGGUGACCCAAAGAAAACAAAAGCAAUAUAACUCAAGCAGGUCCUUAACGGCCAAACAAAGAAAACAAAAGCAAUAUAACUCAAGCAGGUCCUUACCGGCCAAAAAAAAGAAGGGCCUGUCAGACAACCGUGCGACCACCCCGGAGAGGUCAAACCUAACCGGAUAGCGAUCCUCUACAGUGCAGAGACUCCGAGGAGAAUCGUAACCGUUAAUCACACUCAGAUCGCACGGCUAUGAUUCAUCAACCAGGUUUAGGGGCCUGUCUCCUUAGAAAUCAAGGAUACAGAGGUACGAGCCUAUAGAACAGAUCCUGUUCAAGUAAGGUCGUGUCCUAUGCCUUCUUAGCUUCGUUAUAUAAACAUGAGAACUUCUCUGUUAGUUAGCGAUGUGGGAAGAAAUAAACAGCUUCAUAUACCUGAUACGCCAUCGUUUCUCCAGUAAAUG
rnacentral:lncRNA from 1 species